GAUUUCUGGCUUGAUACAUCUGGCCGGCCACGGUUUCGUGUGUUAGUGCUUGAUGUUCUGGCCAUCCUUCCAAUCGCUGCGUGCUAUUCUUCAUUGAUUGGUACGUAGUAUUGGAUCUUUUACUUUGAAAAAAUUAGAGUGUUUCAAGCAGGCUUUAUGCUAUGAAUACAUUAGCAUGGAAUAAUAAUUUAGGACUUCGGUUCUAUUUUGUUGGUUUCUAGGACUGAAGUAAUGAUUGAUAGGGACAGUUGGGGGUGCUAGUAUUCAGCGGCCAGAGGUGAAAUUCUCGGAUUCGCUGAAGACUAACUUAUGCGAAAGCAUU
rnacentral:rRNA from 2 species